UCUGUAGCUCAGUUGGUAGAGCAGGGGACUGAAAAUCCCCGUGUCGAUGGUUCGAUUCCGUCCGGA
rnacentral:tRNA from 6 species